rnacentral:misc_RNA from 1 species
GAUGAAGAACGUAGCGAAAUGCGAUAAGUAAUGUGAAUUGCAGAAUUCAGUGAAUCAUCGAAUCUUUGAACGAACAUUGCGCCCGCCAGUAUUCUGGCGGGCAUGCCUGUCUGAGCGUCGUUUCGACCCUCGCGCCCGGCUUCUGUCGGGGGCGGUGUUGGGGAUCGGCCACACCCUUCAGUGGGAGGCCGGCCCCUAAAUUCAGUGGCGACCACGCUGUAGCCUCCCCUGCGUAGUACUAAAACCACCUCGCAGGCGGAGAGCGGUGCGGCCCGCCGUAAAACCCCCCAACUUUUACAAGGUCGACCUCAGAUCAGGUAGGAAUACCCGCUGAACUUAAGCAUAUCAAUAAGCGGAGGA